CCCAAGCUUGGAUUGGUAAAUAUACACCGUCCAACUUGAGGGGAGACUAUUGAGAACCUUAUAGUUGUCCUAACUGUCCAAAGACAGUUAUUCUGUUUUUCCAGUUUUAGUUCUUCCCCAUGGAACUUUAUAUAUAGAGUUCCUUCCCUUUUUCCCCUUGAUACCAGAGAGUAAUUCAUGUUUACAGAAAUAAGAAAAGAAUACGCUUUUCUUACCCUUUUUGCUGCGAUCUACAUUUUUGUCUUCUACGGCACCGGUAAUCACCGUGCCUGAGCGCCUCUGGCUUGUCUCCGAUCGUUUCUCUCUCAAUCGUCUCUCGCACCCUUU
rnacentral:lncRNA from 1 species